rnacentral:tRNA from 1 species
GGGGCCGUGGUCUAGCGGUAUGACNCGUCUCGCAUAANGCCGCCCUCACGCGGCGGAGGUCGUGGGUUCGAACCCCACCGGCCCCA